rnacentral:rRNA from 1 species
AGAGUUUGAUCAUGGCUCAGGAUGAACGCUAGCUACAGGCUUAACACAUGCAAGUCGAGGGGAAACGAUAUUGGAAGCUUGCUUCCGAUAGGCGUCGACCGGCGCACGGGUGAGUAACGCGUAUCCAACCUGCCCACCACUUGGGGAUAACCUUGCGAAAGUAAGACUAAUACCCAAUGAUAUCUCUAGAAGACAUCUGAAAGAGAUUAAAGAUUUAUCGGUGAUGGAUGGGGAUGCGUCUGAUUAGCUUGUUGGCGGGGUAACGGCCCACCAAGGCAACGAUCAGUAGGGGUUCUGAGAGGAAGGUCCCCCACAUUGGAACUGAGACACGGUCCAAACUCCUACGGGAGGCAGCAGUGAGGAAUAUUGGUCAAUGGACGAGAGUCUGAACCAGCCAAGUAGCGUGCAGGAAGACGGCCCUAUGGGUUGUAAACUGCUUUUAUAAGGGAAUAAAGUGAGAGUCGUGACUCUUUUUGCAUGUACCUUAUGAAUAAGGACCGGCUAAUUCCGUGCCAGCAGCCGCGGUAAUACGGAAGGUCCGGGCGUUAUCCGGAUUUAUUGGGUUUAAAGGGAGCGUAGGCCGGAGAUUAAGCGUGUUGUGAAAUGUAGACGCUCAACGUCUGCACUGCAGCGCGAACUGGUUUCCUUGAGUACGCACAAAGUGGGCGGAAUUCGUGGUGUAGCGGUGAAAUGCUUAGAUAUCACGAAGAACUCCGAUUGCGAAGGCAGCUCACUGGAGCGCAACUGACGCUGAAGCUCGAAAGUGCGGGUAUCAAACAGGAUUAGAUACCCUGGUAGUCCACACUGUAAACGAUGAAUGCUAGGUGUAGGGGGUAUCGACCCCUUCUGUGCCGCAGUCAACACAAUAAGCAUUCCGCCUGGGGAGUACGGCCGCAAGGUUGAAACUCAAAGGAAUUGACGGGGGCCCGCACAAGCAGCGGAGCAUGUGGUUUAAUUCGACGCAACGCGAAGAACCUUACCAGGUCUUGACAUCCACUUAAACUUACAGAGAUGUAAGGUGUGCUUGCACAAAGUGAGACAGGUGGUGCAUGGUUGUCGUCAGCUCGUGUCGUGAGAUGUUGGGUUAAGUCCCGCAACGAGCGCAACCCUUAUCUUCAGUUACUAACGCGUAGAGGUGAGGACUCUGAAGAGACUGCCGGGGACAACUCGGAGGAAGGUGGGGACGACGUCAAAUCAUCAUGCCCCUUAUGACCUGGGCUACACACGUGCUACAAUGGCCACGACAGAGAGAAGCGAAAUCGCAAGGUAGAGCGGAACUCAAAAAAGUGGUCCCAGUUCGGAUUGUGGGCUGCAACCCGCCCACAUGAAGUCGGAGUUGCUAGUAAUCGCGGAUCAGCAUGCCGCGGUGAAUACGUUCCCGGGCCUUGUACACACCGCCCGUCACACCAUGGGAGUUGGGAGUGCCCAAAGCCGGUGAGGCAACCGCAAGGAGCCAGCCGUCUAAGGCAAGACCAAUGACUGGGGUGAAGUCGUAACAAGGUA